CGCAUUUUAGGACAUCAUGCGCAUAAUUACCUUUGACGCAUGCGUUGUCCUCUGCCUUCUCCAUAGCGCAUCGUUGCCGGUUGUAGUCACGCCUGCUCCAAAUGCGCCGUCACUCCUCCGCUCUGCAGCCUCCCUCCUCAGACGUCAUUCAUCACAGCUCCGCCCUCAGACUUCCUCCUUCGGCUGUCAGGUAUCGGGUCUCCGCCAUCAGGAGUCUUCCAUCAGGCGUCUUCCAUCAGGCAUCAGGCGUCUUCCAUCAGGCAUCAGGCAUCAGGCGUCUUCCAUCAGGCAUCAGUCGUCUUCCAUCAGGCAUCAGUCUUCUUCCAUCAGGCAUCAGGCAUCAGGCAUCAGGCAUCAGGCGACCGUAUUCUGUCCUGGGCUGCUUUAUUCACUUUUUUUUUUUUUUACACAUUUUUUUAACUUCCGGUUUUCUAUUUGGCGCAUUUUUUCCCCAGCCAAUAGGAGUCUUAGGUUUUGACCAAUCAAGUUAAAGCUGCCACUUGUAGGCGUCGCCAUUUCUUCCCACAGACACAGGCACGGCUGGCUUCAUUCAUUUAUCCCCGCAUUUGUGCUGGUCUCUACGUCUAGGAGUGGAAGUUUGCUGCUAUCAAUAAAACCAGUGUUAUAAGAAAACGGCGAAAGGGCGACCAUCCAUCCUGUUGUGCUUGAUUGCUCUUCCCUGACAGCGUCUCGAUCUCCUCUAGCUCUUCAGAAGACCGCAGCGGUGUUCUUAUGCCUGUCCCCACUGUAACAUAGCAGACCGUCAGCAUAAAAGGGUAACCCAGAACCCCCUGCCCCUGCAUUAUUUUAACCCUCCUGGCACCGAGAAUAUUCCUUCUGCCUGCUGCUGUGGGCUGCUGGGGAGACGCACAAUCAAUGUAUGGAUCAGUAAAGAGAGCAGCGUUUCUUCAGAGCCUGCCUUCGGAAGGUGAACCAGCUGGCCGGCAUGUUUGUGAAUGGCAGGCCCCUGCCCAAUGCUGUCCGGCUCUCUCCGCACAUCCCCAAGGUGAACUGCUGCCUUCACAAUGGCUCCAAUCACCUAGCAGCGCCAAGAC